ensembl:lncRNA
AAUAAUAAUAAUAACUACAGAAUGAAAUCUGAGACAUAAAUAACUGCGCUCGUUGCAGUUGAGAAUAAUGUUACCGCAUAUAAAAUGAAAUCAGUCGAGAAGAAUAUUGAACCUUCUAUACUCUAUAUAACUUUUUGUUUGAUCGUCAUUGCGUUGAAAUAAAUAAAUAAAUAAAUUAGUUAAUAAAUACAUAGAUAAAUCAACAACAACAUCAGUAAUAAUAAUAGUAAUAAUCAUAAGAAGAAGAAGAAGAGGAAAAAGAAGAAUCACUGCAUUAAUGACGCACGGAGUGUGUGUGUGUGUGUGUGUGUGUGGGUGUGUUGUUUAGCAUUAUAUGAUAACAGUUAGAUCAAUACUGAUAUAAGAAUGAUUAAUCCAAUGUGCUGAUAAAAUAAUUUUAUUCCAUGUUUUUUCAUUUAUAUACACUACUGAUACACAAACACAACUAAACAACAAGCACAACAACACGUAAACAAACAGUUAUACCUAAUAAUAAAUAAUAACCAAUAACAUCAUGAUAGAAUUCUGACAGAGCAGCUGUACUCCUUUGUAUCGUGUGUGUGUGUGUGUGUGUGUGUGGGUGCGUGUGUAUUAACAUGUGACUGUGCUGUGGUGAUGAGGAUGAUGGUUGCCAUCGGAAACGGUUGUUCAGGAGAUCCUCGUGAGCGCGGGGGUCAUGGGGUCAUGAUAAACACACGCCAUGAGGGUCUCAUGACAGGAUUGUGCAGUCAUCACACACACACACACACACAUACACACACACUCACUCACAUACACACACACACACACACACACACACUCACACACACACACCUGAUCUACCUCAGCAUGGUUUACUGUAGGAAAUUAGAGUGAUCGAAACAGAUGAACAAAAGAGAGAGAGAGAGAGAGAGAGAGAGUUAUAAAGUCACAGAGACAGACAGACAGAGUGAUAGAGAUACAGACAGACAGACAGACAGACAGACAGACAGAGUGAUAGAGAUACAGACAGACAGACAGACAGACAGAGUGAUAGAGAUACAGACAGACAGAGUGAUAGAGAUACAGACAGACAGAUAGAGAGACAGACAGACAGAUGGAGAGACAGACAGAUUGAUAGAGGCAUUUAUCAUAUUUGGUGGAGAACAAAAGGUUGCCCUUUUGUCCGUUCCGUAAAUGGAGGAGAAAAUUCCUCGGGGAAUUCCUGAAUUCAGAUCAGGAGAGAGACAGUGAGACAGAGAGUGAGACUGAGAGUGAGACAUAGAGAGAGAGACAGACAGCGCCUACAUGUGGGAAAGUAAAGGGCAGGAAUGAGAAGUGUGUGGACUGGAUGAUGACCUAAUGAGUUUGUCGGGGCAGAGUCGUUAUGUUCCAGAACUUUCUCCGUGUGUGUGUGUGUGUGUGUCGUGAUCAGGUUUGAUAAAAAAAAAUCCUUACUGUUUUUUCUACAGUGUGCAUUUACUAAACAAACGUUUCUACUCAUAUAAGUUGUACUGAUUCCUCCAGACCACCAGGGGGCGAGUUUAACCUUUAACCUUUCCUUUAUCCCUAUAUCAUUAUAUAUGGAGUAGGUUAUUACCCUGCGAAUGCAAAAUGUUCACUACACUACACAGACAUAUUACACGCUCAGAGUUUCACUCAUUUCAUUCACAGCAGCACAAACAAUAAUGUUACCAUGACAACCCACUGCUAACAAUACCUAAGUUAGCUAGCUGCAUUAACACACAAAUUCUAGGCUUAAAAGUUUACAGGUAACACGUUUGCCAGUCUCUAAUCUCAGACCAUUGGUCCAAUGCUGUGGAGUUUAUUUAGUGACAUCACAAACUGAGCUGAGACUUAGCUCCGCCCUCAAAGCAGCCAGUACAUCUCAACAGAGAGUGUGUUAGCAUGUAUAGGAUAGGAGGACAUUGAAUCACACACAUAACCACGUACAGAUACUGGAUUAAAUAGAUUCAGUAAUCAGAUCGUAUACCUUCCUGCAACAUUAACUAACAUCUGCUGCUUCAACAACAUUGCUGAAAUACUUUUGCAUGCUAUAGACCAAAACAUCCUACAGCUCAAACACCCAGACAUCUUCUGCUAAUUUAAACUUGAGCACAAAACAUUUCCACUAAGACAUUAUGUAGACAUCACAGGAAAUUGUGAUACCUUCACGCCUGUCCUGUGGAGGUUGUUGGUGAUGUCAGUGACUGUUGUUUUGGGUUUUUCUUCACAGUUCUCACAAUGUUUCUGUCAUCAGCUGUUUUGUUUUCCUUGGACAGCCUGUUCCAUGUCUGGUUGUCAGUACUCCAGUGGUUUCUUUCUUUUUCAGGACAGUCCAGAUUGUUGUAUUGACUUUACCCAGUGUUUGUGCAGUGCCUCUGAUAGAUUUUCCCUCUUCACUCAGCUUCAAAAUGGCUUGCUUUUCUCCCAUAGACAGCUGUCUGGUCUUCAUGUUGGUUUAUCCUUUUAAACAACAAAUGCAGAUGAAACCUUGGACUGAAAUCAAGUGUAGAUAUUCAGAUCUAUUAAUUCUUUAAACAAUCAAUCUAACAGGACACACCUGUCAGGCACAUGUUCCAAUAUUUAUGAACACUUGAAACAUAGGUUCAAACAAAAGGUGCCAUGUUCUAAGCUGUUUAACACGUUGAGAGGUAAAUAUCAGGAAAUAAAAGCUGAAAUUCUGAUCUAUUGUCGCAUAUUCAUCUUUUGAUCUCAAGUCCAGACGUCUUCAGUGUACAGCACAAAAAAUUAAUAGGCCUUGCUGUUCCAAUAGUUUUGGAGGGAACUGUACAUCACCAAAACAUCCUACUGCCAUCACAUUCAACUUAGUAUUGUUAGUGUGGACAGGUCUCUCUCUCUCUCUCUCUCUCUCUCUCUCUCUCUCUCUCGCUCUCUGUACCUGUAUCAUGAGGACUGCAGGUGUGGGAACCUUCUCUCUCUGAGCUCCCACACGGAUAGUCCCUGUGUGUGUGUGUGUGUGUGUGUGUGUGAAUGUGUGCAGUCUAAUUCUGAUUAAUUAACUUAUCAGCAUGACCAAUCUUUAAAACAUUCUUCACUAGAACGCAUGUAAAUGAUCUGUUUCACCCUGACUCAUGUGAGUGAAGGAGCUGGGACGUGUGUGUGUGUGUGUGGGUGUUGUGUGUUUCAUGGUGAAUAUUGAUGACUCGAGCUCAUUAACAUGUCAGCCCAGGCCAUCUUCAAAGGGUUAAUAAAAAUAAUCCAGCAUUCCAUGACCCUUUGUGACCUAGCACUUCUCUCCAUCUUUUUAAUAAAUCCAUGCAGCUGUGCGACGUUUAAAUGGGUCCCCCUCUCUCGCCUUUCCCUGCCUCUGUGACCAUCCAUGAAUCCGGCCUUUGUGUGGAGUUUCCUAUCCUCCACCGUUCCUUCUCUCUCUCUCUCUCUCUCUCUCUCUCUCUCUCUCUCUCUCUCUCUGUGUUCUGGGGGCAGGGUGGUGGAGCAGGGUGGCAGUCAUGGUGGUGGUGAUGGGGGGUGAAAACUUGGACGUAGGUCCUGUGCAGCUGGGGAAGAAUAGAGAAAGAGAGAGAGAGGGAUGGUGGGAUGAAUGGCUCAUUGUACUGGCCAGUGCGUAUCAGUGCUGAGAGGCUGAAGGAAAGAGUCCAGUUACUGCAAUUGUGUGAGAGAAUCUAAAGGAAACUGAUAGGGGAGAGCUGAGGGCUUAUACCAGGGAGUUUAGGGCAAAAACAGGAGAAAGAGAGAGAGAGAGAGAGAGAGAGAGAGAGAGAGAGAGAGAGAGAGAACUGCAGGUAUUUCUAAGUUAUCCUGCUGCAGGUGUCGUCAGUAAAGUUUAUAAUCAUCCUGAUCAAUAGAUACAGUUUCUGUUUCAUCCAGUUUUUACAUUCAUGUUUAUUUUAAUCCACUUUGUCCAUAUCCAGAAACCAGACACCCCGCCCCGUAUUAUCAGGACACACCCUCUUUUUCAGAUCUAAAAUAUCAGCCCCUGUCGAGAUUCCCAAAAUUCUUAAUAUGACCCACGAUUGUGUCGUCUCUGUAAAUAGACAGCCCGUACUCUAUAUUUCUGUCGGUUCCAUGCUCUGCACACUGCUGGAAGAGUUCAUGGUUCUGUGUAAAGGAACGUUUUCCUGGAAGUUUGAUAGAUGUUUGAGAUCAGAACAGAGACACACUGAAUAAAUAGCACAGGUGUAUCCUUACUAUUAGAAAAACUUACAUAGCUGUGUUUUUAACCUGGACAGGAAAAUUGGAGGGCAAAAAAGCCCCAAAAACCUCCAAUGUAUUGCUUAGAGGAUUUAUAGAAGGGCUGGUCAUGAGUUUCUGAAAAGCAUCAGAAACGUAAUACCUUAACUGGGAGAGAGAGUGUUCCGUAUGAUGCUCUCUCUACCGUAUUUGUGCUCUGAUGCUUUUGGGAAACUCUGAUUAUUUGUGUUGAUAUUAUAUCCGUAUAUUUCUGUGUAUUUCAUGUUCAGUAUCAUUUAAACACAUUUCAUGGUGAACAACGUGGUGGUCUCUGUGACAUGACGAGCACUCAAAUGCUGUUUUUAAAAAAGUAAAAAUCCCAUCAGUCGUGACUACCAGCCCUGAAUAACUGGUCUCUCAGUGUCUGCAUGCAGUGUGUCUGUAAGUGUGCUGUGAUUAAUGUGGUUAUAUUAAUACACAGGAUCGUUUUUAAUGAUAUGAUUUACAAGUCACUGGUAGAAUUCCAUAAUGGGAAAGUCUUACAUCACUGAAGUCACAUUCCCUUCAGUCCAUUUACAUUUAUUCAUGUGGCAGAUUUUCCAGUUUGAUUUAUAACUGAGAGAAGGGACAGUCCCCCGCAGUUGGGGGUUAAAGGUCGAGUUUGAGCGGCCAGCAUCAACUCUCCCAGUGUUCCACUGACUGACUCCGAGCUGUAACCACCGAGGCACCACAUUCACACACUUAAACAUUCAGGCUCGGGUUCUAGAAUCAGGUUUCAGAGAACCACAAUAAUUAAUUGUGUUGUACGGAGCUCCUAUUAUUUCAUUAUUAUGCCACAGCUGUUGAGUUCUGGAUCGUGAUUGGUCAGAAGGUGUUGAUUAAUUUUCUAUAACAGCAGCUCUGAAAGUAGCGCAGCUGCAAAAGUUUACGCUUCUCUGCGGUUUCUGGCGUAACAAGCUGCAUUUUUUAAUCUGAUUAACUUCAAGAGAGAGAAAAAAGAGAGGCUGAUGUUUAUACAGUGGUGCUUGAAAGUUUGUGAACCCUUUAGAAUUUUCUACAUUUCUGCGUAAAUGUGACCUAAAACAUCAUCGGAUUUUCACACAAGUCCUAAAAGUAGAUAAAGAGAACCCAGUUAAAUAAAUCUGACAAAAAUAUUAUACUCGGUCAUUUAUUAAUUGAGGAAAAUGAUCCACUAUUACAUAUGAACCUUGUGUGUGACCCCCUUGUGCAGUAAUAACUGCAGAUAAACGUUUGGGGUAAGUGUUGAUCAUCUGCACAUCGACUUGGAGGAGUUUUAUCCCGUUCCUCAGUACAGAACAGCUUCAGCUCUGGGAUGCUGGUGGGUUUCCUCACAUGAACUGCUUGCUACAACAUUUCCAUUGGAUUAAGGUCAGGACUUUGAUUUGGCCAUUCCAAAACAUAAACAUUAACAUUAACUUUAUUCUUCUCUGGUAGAACGACUCGUGUGAUUAGGGUCGUUGUCUCGCUGCAUGACCCACUUUCUCUUCAGAUUCAGUUCAUGGACAGAUGUUCUGAUAUUUUCCUUUAGAACUCGCUGGUAUCAUUCAGAACUCAUUGUUCCAUCAGUGAUGGUGAGUCGUCCUGGUCCAGAUGCAGCAAAACAGUCCACAACCAUGACACUACCACCAUGUUUCACAGAUGGGAUAAAGGUCCUUCUGCUGGAAUGCAGUGUUUUCCUUUCUCCAAACAUAACGCUUCUCAUUUAAACCAAAAAGUUCUAUUUUGGUCUCAUCCAUCCACAAAACAUUUUCCAUUAGACUUCUGGCUUGUUCACGUGAUCUUUAUCAAACUGCAGAAGGGCAGAAAUGUUCUUUAUGGAGAGUAGUGUGGUUCUCCUUGCAGUCCUGCCAUACACACCAUUGUUGUUCAGCGUUCUCCUGUUGGUGGACUCAUGAACAUUAACAUUAGCCAAUGUGAGAGAGGACUUUAGUUGCUUCUCUGUUGGAGAGAUCUUUGUUGGUCUCCACUCCUGUGGAGGAGAACGAUGGUGUUGAAUUUCCUCCAUUUGUACACAAUCUGUCUGACUGUGGAUUGGUGGAGUCCAAAC